rnacentral:rRNA from 1 species
AGUGAACGCUGGCGGCGUGCUUAACACAUGCAAGUCGAACGAGAACGGAUUAUAGCUUGCUAUAAUUGUCAGCUAAGUGGCGCACGGGUGAGUAAUGUAUAGGUAAUAUGCCUCUUACUAAGGGAUAACAAAUGGAAACGCUUGCUAAUACCUUAUACUCCUUAUUAACAGAAGUUAAUAAGGGAAAGAUUUAUUGGUAAGAGAUUAGCCUGUAUUGUAUCAGUUAGCUGGUGGGGUAAUGGCUUACCAAGACUAUGACACAUAACUGGUUUGAGAGGAUGAUCAGUCACGCUGGAACUGAGACACGGUCCAGACUCCUACGGGAGGCAGCAGUGGGGAAUAUUGCACAAUGGACGAAAGUCUGAUGCAGCAACGCCGCGUGGAGGAUGACACAUUUCGGUGCGUAAACUCCUUUUAUAUGAGAAGAUAAUGACGGUAUUAUAUGAAUAAGCACCGGCUAACUCCGUGCCAGCCGCCGCAGUAAUAC